rnacentral:rRNA from 1 species
UACGGGAGGCAGCAGUGAGGAAUAUUGGUCAAUGGGCGAGAGCCUGAACCAGCCAAGUAGCGUGCAGGAUGACGGCUCUAUGGGUUGUAAACUGCUUUUAUAGGGGAAUAAAGUGAGCCACGUGUGGUUUUUUGCAUGUACCCUAUGAAUAAGGACCGGCUAAUUCCGUGCCAGCAGCCGCGGUAAUACGGAAGGUCCGGGCGUUAUCCGGAUUUAUUGGGUUUAAAGGGAGCGUAGGCCGGAGAUUAAGCGUGUUGUGAAAUGUAGAUGCUCAACAUCUGAACUGCAGCGCGAACUGGUUUCCUUGAGUACGCAUAAAGUGGGCGGAAUUCGUGGUGUAGCGGUGAAAUGCUUAGAUAUCACGAAGAACUCCGAUUGCGAAGGCAGCUCACUGGGGCGCAACUGACGCUGAAGCUCGAAAGCGCGGGUAUCGAACAGGAUUAGAUACCCUGGUAGUCCGCGCGGUAAACGAUGGAUGCCCGCUGUUGGGCCAACUGGUUCAGCGGCCAAGCGAAAGCAUUAAGCAUCCCACCUGGGGAGUACGCCGGCAACGGUGCAACUCAAAUGAUUGAAGGA